AAUAGAUACCCUGGUAGUCCUAGCUGUAAACGAUGUAUACUUGGUGUAACCGGAAUCAACCCUGGUUGUGCCGAAGCUAACGCGAUAAGUAUACCGCCUGAGGAGUACAGUCGCAGGGCUGAAACUCAAAAGAAUUGACGGGGACCCGCACAAGCAGUGGAGCAUGUGGUUUAAUUCGAUGCAACGCGAAGAACCUUACCCAGGCUUGACAUGCAGAGGAAGGCUCUAGAAAUAGAGAGUCCCGAAAGGGCUUCUGCACAGGUGCUGCAUGGCUGUCGUCAGCUCGUGCCGUGAGGUGUUUGGUUAAGUCCAGCAACGAGCGCAACCCUUAUCAUUAGUUGCCAGCACGUGAAGGUGGGAACUCUAAUGAGACUGCCUGGGUUAACCAGGAGGAAGGUGAGGAUGACGUCAAGUCCGCAUGGCCCUUAUGUCUGGGGCUACACACGUGCUACAAUGGCCGGUACAGAAGGCAGCGAAACCGCGAGGUGAAGCAAAUCCCUAAAGCCGGCCCCAGUUCAG
rnacentral:rRNA from 1 species